GCAGAAGUGCCGAGUCCCGACCAGGGGCAGCCUCGCCGCCGCUCAGCUCAGGAAUCCCUGCCCCCCACCAGCACCACGGUGGGUGAUACUGCAAGUUCAAGCACCAGCAUCACAGUAACAGCCGGCACACAGCACUUAGGCUUCGGGUUGUUCCAGAAGCUUCUGCAGGGGCCCUAUGCUGAGCUCAAGGCACCCCUAAGAGGAGGGCAUUUUGCUGUCCCCACUUUACCGAGAAGGAACUUGGGCUCAGGGUGGUUUAAGGCGUGAAUGAAUGAAGGAGCAAGCAGUAAGUCCCGACAGCAAGGCCACCACAGCCCUCACCCCACAGGGACGCCUGAGCAAGGACCCAAGCAGGGGACAAGCAGGCUCACCCCGCCCUUGCGGGGCUGACCACGAGGCCCGGUCCGGUGGAACGCGCCAUGACACUUCAGAAGGCUCGUGUAGCUGGCGCCGUAUCGGACAGCGGGGGACAGAGAAAAUGCACAGCCCAGGGAAAUGUGGAGACAGGCCCAACGCCAGGCAUGGGGGCCGGAAGGAGCAGCUGGGGAGCAGGGGGCAGGGCCUGGAGUCCCGCCUUGCAGAUCUGAACCUGCCUCAGCCCCAGGACUCUGAGUGCAGCCAGAGGGGAGCCGGGCUGGAGAGUGGGGAGCACGGAGACUGUGGCCUGGACGGUGCCAGAGCAAACAGGAGAAAGGCUCCCCCACACAAAGGCUGCGGCACAGCCCAGCGGGUCCCGGGGCUGACUGGGUGGGAGCAGCUCCCAGCGAGAGGCCCCUGGGAUUUGGGUAAGUAGAGGCACAUGCAGACUCUGGCCACAGGGCACCUCGCGCAUGAGGGGAGUUCACCACACAAGCUGAGUGGAGGGCGGACGCAGGAGAACAGCGGUUUCUUUGGAAGCCAAGGGCAGUCAUGGAGCCCCACGCCACAGCGCUUCCCACGGGGCCACACCAUCCGGUCUGCGGAGGGAGCUGCAUUGCCGGGAAGGACCAUCUGAUUCUGGAUUCCAGCCUCACCCUGGGCCACCGCUGAGUGUCCCAAGUGGCCCCUUAGCCCCCAGGGCCAGGCGGCAUCCCAAUCCCCUUGGGAUGUUGUGCUCAGAAUGUGGCACACACACCCUGGCAGGGCCAUCCUCCUCCUCCUGCACCCGGCAUGGCCGUGGGUUCAGGGUCUCUAUCGUGGGCAGAGAUUCACAGAGUCAAGGUGAGGGUCCCAGAAGCAGCUGUGACCAGGCCCUGGCUGCCAGGGAGAGGGGGUCCUCAGCCGACAGGGCAGACACCCGGAGAUGGACCCUCGUCCAGGGGAGGGCCCUGCCGCCCACAAUUCCUUGGCAUUCCUGCACCAGCAGGAUGGGCUGAGGGAGGCGCCUUGCCAGUGUCAGUGCCCAGCAUCACUGUGCCCCGGUGGAGGGGGAGGCCUUUCCGAGCCUGGGCCUGGGUGUGAACGAGGGCAGGUUUCUCACCUCUCUGACCUCAGUUUCCUCAACUGGGAAGGGGGGCCGCAGCACCCCCUUAGGGGUGAUGAGGAAGUGGGAGCUCAGGGAGGGCCCUGGGCAGGGCUGCCUCCUCACCUCCCUUCAGCCUUUGGACACUGGAGCUCAGAGGACCAAGCAAAUGAAUGAAUGAAUGACUCAAUCAAUCAACUGAUGCAUCAAUCCAUGGACCCCUGAACAGCUGGACAGCUGGGCUGUGGGCAGGACGGGGGACUCUGGCCGAAGCCACGUUCAUAUGUGUUCAGCUUUAGGCCUCCACUGUGCCUGGACCAGCGGCCCACUCGGUGAGUCGAGUGUGCACCUGGCACCCCUCUUUCUGGAAAUCCACGAACACUGGGCUCCCAGCAGAGGACUGAGGCUGAGCAGGCCACUUCGCUGGAGCUGACCCCACAGCUGUCCUGCUCCUCCUUCGCCUUCUGCCGUGACUGUAAGCUUUCUGAGGGCUGACCAGAAGCCCAGCAGAUGCCAGCACCAUGCUUCCUAUACAGCCUGCAGAACCGUGAGCCAGCUAAACCUCUCCUUAUAAAUCACCCAGCCCCAGGUUUAUCUUUACAGCAAUGCAAGACCUGACUAAUACAGCACAAGCUCCCCAAAAUAAAAAGAAAUAUUCAAAUAGGCACACAGGAGUGUUCCCAGCGGCACUAUUCACUGCAGCCAAAAGGUGGAGGAGCCACAGGCCUGUCAGCUGAUGAUAGACAAAGAAAGCAUGGCCUGUCAUCCCAGCACUUUGGGAGGCCGAGGCGGGCAGAUCACCUGAGGUCGGGAGUUCAAGACCAGCCUGGACAACAUGGUGAAACCCAGUCUCUACUAAAAA
rnacentral:antisense_RNA from 1 species